UACGUAGGGGGCAAGCGUUGUCCGGAUUUAUUGGGCGUAAAGAGCUCGUAGGUGGUUCGGUAAGUCGGAUGUGAAAUCUCCAGGCUCAACCUGGAGGGGUCAUUCGAUACUGCCGUGACUAGAGGUCGGUAGGGGAGUGUGGAAUUCCUGGUGUAGCGGUGAAAUGCGCAGAUAUCAGGAGGAACACCGAUGGCGAAGGCAGGUCUCUGGGCCGAUACUGACGCUGAGGAGCGAAAGCGUGGGGAGCGAACAGG
rnacentral:rRNA from 1 species